rnacentral:tRNA from 7 species
GCCGGGGUGGUGAAAUGGCAUACACGCAGGUUUUAGGAACCUGUGAUCGUGAGAUCGUGGAGGUUCAAGUCCUCUCCCCGGCA